AACGAACGCUGGCGGCAUGCCUAACACAUGCAAGUCGAACGAGACGUCCGGGCCUAGUGGCGGACGGGUGCGUAAGGCGGGGGAAGCAGCCCUUAGGUUAGGAAGAACUGACCGAAAGGGGAGCUAAGACAGGAUAAUGUAAUAGGACAAAAGAUUUAUCGCCUUUGGAUGGGCCCGCGUUGGAUUAGCUAGUUGGUAGGGUAAAAGCCUACCAAGGCGACGAUCCAUAGCUGGUCUGAGAGGAUGAUCAGCCACACUGGGACUGAGACACGGCCCAGACUCCUACGGGAGGCAGCAGUGGGGAAUAUUGGACAAUGGGCGAAAGCCUGAUCCAGCAAUGCCGCGUGAGUGAUGAAGGCCUUAGGGUUGUAAAGCUCUUUUACCCGGGAUGAUAAUGACAGUACCGGGAGAAUAAGCUCCGGCUAACUCCGUG
rnacentral:rRNA from 1 species